GUGCUUGCUUCAGCAGCACAUAUGCUAAAACUGGAACUAUACAGAGAUUAGCACGGCCCCUGAGCACGGAUGACAGGCAACUUCGUGAAGCAUUCCAUAUUUAA